rnacentral:rRNA from 1 species
GACGAACGCUGGCGGCGUGCUUAACACAUGCAAGUCGAACGAUGACGACCGAGCUUGCUCGGUCUGAUUAGUGGCGAACGGGUGAGUAACACGUGAGCAACCUGCCCUUCACUCUGGGAUAACCUCGGGAAAUCGGGGCUAAUACCGGAUAUGAGCUCCUGUCGCAUGGCGGGUGUUGGAAAGUUUUUCGGUGAAGGAUGGGCUCGCGGCCUAUCAGUUUGUUGGUGAGGUAGUGGCUCACCAAGGCGAUGACGGGUAGCCGGCCUGAGAGGGCGACCGGCCACACUGGGACUGAGACACGGCCCAGACUCCUACGGGAGGCAGCAGUGGGGAAUAUUGCACAAUGGGCGAAAGCCUUAUGCAGCGACGCCGCGUGAGGGAUGACGGCCUUCGGGUUGUAAACCUCUUUCAGCAGGGAAGAAGCGAAAGUGACGGUACCUGCAGAAGAAGCGCCGGCUAACUACGUG